AGCGAACGCUGGCGGCAGGCCUAACACAUGCAAGUCGAACGGAUCCUUCGGGAUUAGUGGCGGACGGGUGAGUAACACGUGGGAACGUGCCCUUUGGUUCGGAACAACUCAGGGAAACUUUAGCUAAUACCGGAUGUGCCCUUCGGGGGAAAGAUUUAUCGCCAUUGGAGCGGCCCGCGUCUGAUUAGCUAGUUGGUGAGGUAACGGCCCACCAAGGCGACGAUCAGUAGCUGGUCUGAGAGGAUGAUCAGCCACACUGGGACUGAGACACGGCCCAGACUCCUACGGGAGGCAGCAGUGGGGAAUCUUGCGCAAUGGGCGAAAGCCUGACGCAGCCAUGCCGCGUGAAUGAUGAAGGUCUUAGGAUUGUAAAAUUCUUUCAGCGGGGACGAUAAUGACGGUACCCGCAGAAGAAGCUCCGGCUAACUUCGUG
rnacentral:rRNA from 1 species